AUACGGAGGGUGCGAGCGUUGUUCGGAAUCAUUGGGCGUAAAGCGCGUGUAGGCGGCUUGGCAAGUCGGAUGUGAAAUCCCGGGGCCCAACCCCGGAACUGCAUUCGAAACUGCUUCGCUAGAGUCCCGGAGAGGAAGGCGGAAUUCCCGGUGUAGAGGUGAAAUUCGUAGAUAUCGGGAGGAACACCAGUGGCGAAGGCGGCCUGCUGGACGGUGACUGACGCUGAGACGCGAAAGCGUGGGGAGCAAACAGGAUUAGAUACCCCAGUAGUCC
rnacentral:rRNA from 1 species